AAAAGAGUCAUUGAGAAACUUUCGCACUACAGAGUUUAAUCCAUUGUUCAACCCAAAACAAGCAACAUGUUUCAACUUUCUUUGGUAAAAGCUAUAAUUGCUAUUAUUGCAAUUACGUCUGUGAUGUAUAUAAUUUCUGCUCACCCCAAGAAACGAACACCGGCACCGGUUUAAUUAAAAAAACGUGUCAGCUGUAAUGUCUUGAAUAAAAAUUUUAAACUA